UACGGGGGGGGGUAAGCGUUGUUCGGAAUUACUGGGCGUAAAGGGCUCGUAGGCGGCCAACUAAGUCAGACGUGAAAUCCCUCAGCUUAACUGGGGAACUGCGUCUGAUACUGGAUGGCUUGGAUUCGGGAGAGGAAUGCGGAAUUCCAGGUGUAGCGGUGAAAUGCGUAGAUAUCUGGAGGAAUACCGGUGGCGAAGGCGGCAUCCUGGACCGAGAUUGACACUGAUGAGCGAAAGCCAGGGGAGCAAACGGG
rnacentral:rRNA from 1 species